rnacentral:rRNA from 1 species
UAGCAAUACUUUAGUCGGCAGACGUGGUGAGUAACAUGUAAGUAUCUGCCCUUUGGCCUGGAAUAACACGAGGAAACUUGUGCUAAUACCGGAUAAGUCUUUACGGAGAAAGCUUUAUGCACCAUUGGAUGAGCCUGCACUUGAUUAGUUUGUUGGUGGGGUAAUGGCCUACCAAGACUAUGAUCAAUAGCUGAUUUGAGAGGAUGAUCAGCCACAUUGGGACUGAGACACGGCCCAAACUCCUACGGGAGGCAGCAGUGGGGAAUCUUGCACAAUGGAGGAAACUCUGAUGCAGCGAUGCCGCGUGAGUGAAGAAGGCCCUUGGGUUGUAAAGCUCUUUCGUCGGGGAAGAAAAUGACUGUACCCGAAUAAGAAGGUCCGGCUAACUUCGUGCCAGCAGCCGCGGUAAUACGAAGGGACCUAGCGUAGUUCGGAAUUACUGGGCUUAAAGAGUUCGUAGGUGGUUGAAAAAGUUGGUGGUGAAAUCCCAGAGCUUAACUCUGGAACUGCCAUCAAAACUUUUCAGCUAGAGUAUGAUAGAGGAAAGCAGAAUUUCUAGUGUAGAGGUGAAAUUCGUAGAUAUUAGAAAGAAUACCAAUUGCGAAGGCAGCUUUCUGGAUCAUUACUGACACUGAGGAACGAAAGCAUGGGUAGCGAAGAGGAUUAGAUACCCUCGUAGUCCAUGCCGUAAACGAUGUGUGUUAGACGUUGGAAAUUUAUUUUUCAGUGUCGCAGCGAAAGCGAUAAACACACCGCCUGGGGAGUACGACCGCAAUGUUAAAACUCAAAUGAAUUGACGG